AUGGCGGCGGCCGGAUCAGCUGCUGCUGGUCGUCACAAGUUGGGGGAGGAGAAGCUGAUCAUCCGGCCGGAGAAGGUGCGGUUCAUCGACAUCCUGUCCCUGCUGAUCCUGCGCCGGCCCAUCACCAGCUACGCCUUCAUCGACGCCGGCGACCAGACGACCCACGACGUCGGCGUCACGCCGGGCGACAUCUUCGUCGUGCUCACCCAGAUCAUCCAGAAGGCCCUCGCUGCUGCCUACUACCCGGCAAAGAUAAUCGGGGCCAUCGUCGAGCUCCUCCUCAACUUCUUCGCCCUCAACGGAGGCCUGCUCGGCAUCGUAUGGAACAUCAUCAGAUUUAAGCUGGUGAUCCCGCGCCGGGAGGCGGCCAACUACCGGACGAUGAUCGGGAUGAUCGACGGGAGGACGGAGCUGAAGCCGGCCCCAGCAGCAUCUGUCGGCGACAUGCGGCAGCUGCAGGUGCUUGACGUCGUGGUCUCCGGCGAGGUGGCGGACCUGGAGAGCGGCGGGUACGUGACGGCUGGGACGCCCCUCGUCCUGCGCCAGUACCUCAUCCUCGAGAUCACAGUCAUGGCGGCCAAGAUCGCCUACGAGAACGCCGCCUUCGUCAAGAACGUGGUCAACAACGUCUGGAAGUUCAAUUUCGUGGGGUUCUACAACGGCUGGAACAAGUUUCUGAAGGAGGACACGACGCAGGCGUUCGUUUUCACGGACCGGGCCAAGGAUGCGAGCGUGGUGGUGGUGGCGUUCCGUGGCACGGAGCCAUUCAACAUGCAGGACUGGUCGACGGACGUGAACCUGUCGUGGCUGGGCAUGGGCGCCAUGGGCCACGUCCACGCCGGCUUCCUCAAGGCGCUGGGUCUCCAGGAGGAGGACGGCAAGGACGCCAACCGCGCCUUCCCCAAGGACGCCCCCAACGGCGCCGCCCCAGUCGGCAAGGCCAUCGCCUACUACAAGCUCCGCGAGGUGAUCCGCGACCAGCUCAAAGCUCACCCGCAGGCGCGGCUCGUGAUCACCGGCCACAGCCUCGGCGGCGCGCUCGCCGCCGUCUUCCCGGCGCUGCUGGCGCUGCACGGGGAGACGGAGAUCCUGGGCAGGCUCGGCACCGUGCAGACCUACGGGCAGCCGCGCGUGGGCGACGCCACCUUCGUCAGCUUCUUCCGCGCCGAGGUGGAGAAGGCGACGGCCUUCUACCGCGUGGUGUACCGGUACGACGUGGUGCCGCGGGUGCCGUUCGACGCGCCGCCCGUGGCGGAGUUCACCCACGGCGGCUCCUGCGUCUACUACGACGGGUGGUACGACGGGAAGGUGCUCCCCGGCGACGCGCCCAACCCCAACUACUUCGACCCGCGCUACCUGCUCUCCAUGUACGGCAACGCGCUGGGGGACCUGGUGAAGGGGGCCUUCCUCUGGGCGAGGGCCGGCAAGGACUACCGCGAGGGCCCCGUCUCCCUGCUCUACCGCGCCUCCGGCCUGCUCGUCCCCGGACUUGCCUCCCACAGCCCGCGCGACUACGUCAACGCCGUCCGCCUCGGCCGCAUCGCCCCCAAGUCACUCUAA
rnacentral:rRNA from 1 species